rnacentral:rRNA from 1 species
UGAACGCUGGCGGCGUGCCUAAUACAUGCAAGUCGAACGCUUCACUUCGGUGAAGAGUGGCGAACGGGUGAGUAAUACAUAAGUAACCUGGCAUCUACAGGGGGAUAACUGAUGGAAACGUCAGCUAAGACCGCAUAGGUGUAGAGAUCGCAUGAACUCUAUAUGAAAAGUGCUACGGGACUGGUAGAUGAUGGACUUAUGGCGCAUUAGCUUGUUGGUAGGGUAACGGCCUACCAAGGCGACGAUGCGUAGCCGACCUGAGAGGGUGACCGGCCACACUGGGACUGAGACACGGCCCAGACUCCUACGGGAGGCAGCAGUAGGGAAUUUUCGGCAAUGGGGGAAACCCUGACCGAGCAACGCCGCGUGAAGGAAGAAGUAAUUCGUUAUGUAAACUUCUGUCAUAGAGGAAGAACGGUGGAUAUAGGGAAUGAUAUCCAAGUGACGGUACUCUAUAAGAAAGCCACGGCUAACUACGUG